GAUGUGAGGGCGAUCUGGCUGCGACAUCUGUCACCCCCUUGAUCGCCAGGGUUUUUUGGCUGAUCUGGCUGGCUAGGCGGGUGUCCCCCUCCUCCCUCACCGAUCCAUGUGCGUCCCUCCCGAAGCUGCACGCUCCGUCAAAGAGGAUGACCUUCCCCCCGAGGCGAGGACCGGUCUUCGGUCAAGGGUAUACAAGUAGCUG
rnacentral:snRNA from 1 species